rnacentral:rRNA from 1 species
GACGAACGCUGGCGGCGUGCUUAACACAUGCAAGUCGAACGGAAAGGCCCUGCUUGCAGGGUACUCGAGUGGCGAACGGGUGAGUAACACGUGGGUGAUCUGCCCUGCACUUCGGGAUAAGCCUGGGAAACUGGGUCUAAUACCGGAUAGGAGCCAUUUUUAGUGUGAUGGUUGGAAAGUUUUUUCGGUGUAGGAUGAGCUCGCGGCCUAUCAGCUUGUUGGUGGGGUAAUGGCCUACCAAGGCGGCGACGGGUAGCCGGCCUGAGAGGGUGGACGGCCACAUUGGGACUGAGAUACGGCCCAGACUCCUACGGGAGGCAGCAGUGGGGAAUAUUGCACAAUGGGCGCAAGCCUGAUGCAGCGACGCCGCGGGGGGGAUGACGGCCUUCGGGUUGUAAACUCAUUUCGCUAGGGACGAAGCUUUUUGUGACGGUACCUAGAUAAGAAGCACCGGCUAACUACGUG